rnacentral:rRNA from 1 species
UACGUAGGGGGCAAGCGUUGUCCGGAAUCAUUGGGCGUAAAGCGCGUGUAGGCGGCCCGAUAAGUCCGCUGUGAAAGUCCAGGGCUCAACCCUGGGAUGCCGGUGGAUACUGUCGGGCUCGAGUCCGGAAGAGGCGAGUGGAAUUCCUGGUGUAGCGGUGAAAUGCGCAGAUAUCAGGAGGAACACCGAUGGCGAAGGCAGCUCGCUGGGACGUGACUGACGCUGAGACGCGAAAGCGUGGGGGGCAAACAGG